GUUGAACGCUGGCGGCAGGCCUAACACAUGCAAGUCGAGCGGAUUUAGGUAGCUUACUCCUGGUUUCAGCGGACGACGGGUGAAUACUUCCUAAGAAACUGCAUGGUCGUGGGGAAUACCGUCCGGGCACGGGCGCUAAUACCUCAUACGUCCUGUUGGAGAAAGUGGGGGAUCUUCGUACCUCUCGCUAUCAGAUAAGCCUAGCGCGGAUUCGGUAGGUGGUGGGGUAAAGGCCUCACCAGGCGACGAACCGUAACUGGUCUGAGAGGAUGAUCAGUCACACUGGAACUGAGACACGGUCCAGACUCACACGGGAGGCAGCAGUGGGGAAUAUUGUACCAUGGGCGAAAGCCUGAUGCAGCCAUGCCGAGUGUUGGAAGAAGGUCGUCGGAUUGGAAAACACUUUAAGUUGGGAGGAAGGCCAGUAAGUUAAUACCUUGCUGUUUUGACGUUACCAAAAGAAUAAGCACCGGCUAACUUCGUG
rnacentral:rRNA from 1 species